AGCGAACGCUGGCGGCAGGCCUAACACAUGCAAGUCGAACGGACCCUUCGGGGUUAGUGGCGGACGGGUGAGUAACACGUGGGAACGUGCCCUUUGGUACGAAACAACUCAGGGAAACUUGAGCUAAUACCGUAUGUGCCCUUCGGGGGAAAGAUUUAUCGCCAUUGGAGCGGCCCGCGUCUGAUUAGCUAGUUGGUGAGGUAAAGGCUCACCAAGGCUACGAUCAGUAGCUGGUCUGAGAGGAUGAUCAGCCACACUGGGACUGAGGCACGGCCCAG
rnacentral:rRNA from 1 species